GGAGGAAGGUGAGGAUGAUGUCAAGUCAGCAUGACCUUUAUAUCCAGGGCUACACACACGCUACAAUGGUCUGUACAAUGGGUAGCCAAGCCGCGAGGCGGAGCCAAUCCUGAAAGCAGGCCUCAGUUCAGAUUGCAGUCUGCAACUCGACUGCAUGAAGCCGGAGUUGCUAGUAGCCGCAGGUCAGCAAUACUGCGGUGAAUACGUUCCCGGGUCUU
rnacentral:rRNA from 1 species